rnacentral:rRNA from 1 species
UACAGAGGGUGCAAGCGUUGCUCGGAAUCAUUGGGCGUAAAGGGCAGGUAGGUGGUCUCGUUUGUCUGGGGUGAAAGCCCAGGGCUUAACCCUGGAAGUGCCCCGGAAACGGCGAGACUGGAGUCUUGGAGAGGGUCGUGGAAUUCCCGGUGUAGCGGUGAAAUGCGUAGAGAUCGGGAGGAACACCAGAGGCGAAGGCGGCGACCUGGACAGGUACUGACACUCAACUACGAAAGCGUGGGGAGCAAACAGG